GAGGGGCUGUAGGUUCAACUCUGCGGGGGAGGGAAUGAGUAGGUUUGGUGCGAUUGUGUCAGUUAAAAGAUUAUUAUAAAGGAUAACGGAUUAUUGUAAAGGAUUCUUAUAAAGGAUUAUUAUAACACUCCGGUGUGUGGGGGAGGUUAUUGGGGAGACAGAAGGAAUAAACACUCGUGUGUGUAGGUGCAGAAGGAAGAACACUUCCCUGUGUGUGUUUGGGGGGAGGGAGGCAGAAGAGAAAAACACCCGUCUUGUUGUUUGUGUGUUGCUGGUGGUUAGGGGGGAAAGGGGACCCAGUGGGACUCUCUGUGUAACAUGGGAAAGUCCAGCAGGUACACGGAAAGGAUCUAUUCUUCUUCUUCUACCAAGACCAGAUGUUCCAGAGUUUCCCUGUGAUUGUCACGUGGAGCGAACAGAUGUGGAACUGCCAGAGAGCCCGCCCCUCCUCCCCACACACAGUCCCAUUCAGUCUCACUGCUCCGGGCUGGGCCGCCGCUCUUUAUCUCCGCACAGCUCACAGCACCUCGGAUCCAUCGGAAGAUUGGGGGGACCCUCUGAAUAAUGUGGGUGACAGGCAGCCGGGAGGGAUGUAGAUGAGAGAGCUGGAGGCUGCUGGAUGAUGGGCUCAUUGACAUGCGCUCCACCGAUGCAAAAUGCAGCAUUUAUUAAAAAGAAAGACCAGCUAGGGCAUUUGUCUUCAGCAGGGCAUAUAAUAAAUGCACGAAAGCUGCCAAAGUCGGUCCAUGAGAUCUGCAGUGGUGACCACAGAAGAAUGGGAAGACCUUUGCGUUUCCAGGUGAGGUUGGUUACCUCUAAGUUGCAGUAUAUCCCAUGCAGCCUUCCCCUGCUGUCAGCAAUGAUGUUCUGCCAGACAGCCACAUCCAAGCCUACCCCUUCUAGUCCAUAGGACUUGAACCUUGUCCAAAUAUUUAAGACCUUUUUGGUUCAAAUUCCCCACACACAAUUGUGGCACAACAUUUGGUGACACUCCCUUUAGGAAAUAACAUGGAUAUAUGAAACCAUGAAACGUUACUAGACAGUAGCAGAGGGAUCAGUGUAAAACACUUCUGAACCUGGACCUAAGUCUCCUUUGGGCAGCUGACACUGAGUCGACUGCAUGGCAAAAUAGGAUGAAGAGGACCCCCAUGGCAACUGUCAUUUUGUGUGGUGGCCAAACUGCUCUUCCUUUGCUGAAUGUCAUACGGUCAAGCUGUUAUAGUUCUGGUACUGUCCAAAACAGCAAAUAACCAUAAACCCCAAACCUCACCCUUGGUCUGAUGCUUAGACCUCCUUACUGGUUCAGCCCCACAGUUUGAGAAUCUUUGUGCUGCUUUGAACAAAAAGUCCAACAGGAUUGAACUGAAUAUUGCAUUUUAGCAUUUCUGCAGAUCUCAUUCUGUACCUUCAUUUACAAAGACAUUAUCCUCAACACUUACCGUAGAUUGUAAGCUCUACAGGGCAUGGGCCUCUUUCCUACUGUGCCUCUUACCACGUGCCACUUAAUUUUUAUACUUUCUUAUUAUAAUACUUUUCUAUGUUGCAAGUUAACAGAAUUGAAGUUCUUAACUAUGCUUUUGGAUUUAUUUUCUUCUGUCAUUAUUAAAUCACAGCUUGAAUUUUUUGUGUUUUUUUUUUUUUUAAAAAGACAAAAUCAUUGCUGGAGGAUAAUUACUGCUAAUCAUAAAUAAGGCUUGAUUGCUUUGCUAUACAAUUAAUGUGUCCUUUUUGUUGCCAUUCCUUUGGGAGUGUACAUUUGCCAUGCUUGGGUAUUAAAAAUUAAUGCCCUAAACUUUGGACAUGUAUUGGUGGAAAGUGGACAUGUAAUCACAUAGGGUCACUUUAAUCAACACAUUCAAUCAGUUUAAUUUAUUCAUUUAUUGAAAAGUAAUUCCAUGGUCACCAGGACAUGACACAGGGAGUAAAGGCUGAGAUAAACUGCAUUUGCUGGGUACAAUUUUUAACUUGGCUUCCUGAUUUUGAUUUCUGCUUAUUUCAGGAGUAGGAAUUAACUUAAAUUGCAAAAGUGGCAGUACCUUUUCAGAUGAGACAGUGACACCCAAGCAAGUAAGCGAGUUGAAAGAAUAAACUUAUAUGGCAGAAAUGACACCUAAGUAUGCAAGUAACUUCAAGCAGCUCUCUUCAAGCUGCCUCCAUUUGCUUCCCCACAUCCUGAUUCCCACUUCCUGAACAGAAAUCUAGCGAUGGGGAAUAAAUUUGACUGGCGCAAAUUCGCGUUGACUUUCCGCGUUUUGUCGCCGGCGAAUAAACUUGCGAGACUUGCGUCUGAAAAGUCGAUUGAGUCAAAAUCGCCGCACGUCAACACACGCGUCCACAAUUAAAUUUUCGAGUUUCACUCGUUUUUCAACGUUUCGCUGGAAAUUAGCAAAUUUUUCGGCAAGGCAUAAUGGAAGAAAUUCGCCCAUCACUACAGAAAUCUCAUUCCUAACCCCUCAGCUUUAUCACAGGCUGAUACAUUUACAGUUCUGGGUUUUCUGCCUGAGCGAAUUCAGCCCCUGUUAUUUUUCACAUCUACUUUGUCUCAUUCUGGGCAUUCUGGGAGACACCUACCUUUUGUUGCUCAAUUUUGAGGCUGCCGGGACACCUACUUUAAAUAGAGACGACUGACCCUAAAAUGUUUUGAAGACAAUUAAUGGAAAAUUUUGAUUAGCUUGAAAAACAGUAUUCUUUACUACAAAACUUUUUAUUACAUGCACUAUUCAUAGGAGCAAAUGCAAAAGUGAAUAAUCUUUUUUUAUAAUGGAGGAUAAGUUAAAUACCUUUAUGGUUGAAAAACCCUAGUUUAGUGCUAAUAAAAACAAAACAGAAAUUAUUCACAAAUACAAAAAAAAAGUCGUUUUUAUCAUUUGUUUUUUGUUUGGUUUGCAGUCACAUCAUUGCCAUAUUAUAUAAAAUAUUCCUAAAAUGAUAUCAGUUCUUUUAAUCUAAGAUUGCAAGUACAGGCACGAGACCUGUUAUACAGAAUGCUCAGGACCUGGGAUUUUCCGGACAAUGGAUCUUUCCAUAAAUGGAUCUUCAUACCUUAAGUCUACUAAAAAAAUAAUUUAAACAUUAAAUA